UCGAGGAUCUUGGACAAUGCGCGAAAGCGUGAUCCAGCGACGUCGCGUGCAGGAUGAAGGCCUUCGGGUUGUAAACUGCUGUCAUGAGGGAACAAUAGUCCCGGCACUAACACUUCCGGGAUAUGAUAGUACUUCAGGAGGAAGACACGGCUAACUCUGUGCCAGCAGCCGCGGUAAUACAGAGGUGUCGAGCGUUGUUCGGAUUUACUGGGCGUAAAGGGUGCGUAGGCGGAUCCGUGUGUCGGAUGUGAAAUCUCCCGGCUUAACUGGGAAACUGAACCUGAAACUACGGUUUUCGAGUUCAGGAGGGGAUGGCGGAAUUCUGGGGGUGGCGGUGAAAGGCGAGAUAUCGAGAGGAACACCCGUGGCGAAGGCGGCCAUCUGGACUGAUACUGACGCUGAGGCACGAAGGCCGGGGGAGCAAACA
rnacentral:rRNA from 1 species